GCAAGUCGAACGAAGUAGCAAUACUUAGUGGCAGACGGGUGAGUAACAUGUGGGUAUCUACCCUUUGGCCUGGAAUAACACGAGGAAACUUGUGCUAAUACCGGAUAAGUCUUUACGGAGAAAGCUUUAUGCACCAUUGGAUGAGCCCGCACUUGAUUAGUUUGUUGGUAGGGUAAUGGCCUACCAAGACUAUGAUCAAUAGCUGAUUUGAGAGGAUGAUCAGCCACAUUGGGACUGAGACACGGCCCAAACUCCUACGGGAGGCAGCAGUGGGGAAUCUUGCACAAUGGAGGAAACUCUGAUGCAGCGAUGCCGCGUGAGUGAAGAAGGCCUUUGGGUUGUAAAGCUCUUUCGUCGGGGAAGAAAAUGACUGUACCCGAAUAAGAAGGUCCGGCUAACUUCGUGCCAGCAGCCGCGGUAAUACGGAGGGGGUUA
rnacentral:rRNA from 1 species